CCUACGGUGCGCAGCAGUCGAGAAUCAUUCACAAUGGGGGAAACCCUGAUGGUGCGACGCCGCGUGGGGGAAUGAAGGUCUUCGGAUUGUAAACCCCUGUCAUGUGGGAGCAAAUUAAAAAGAUAGUACCACAAGAGGAAGAGACGGCUAACUCUGUGCCAGCAGCCGCGGUAAUACAGAGGUCUCAAGCGUUGUUCGGAAUCACUGGGCGUAAAGCGUGCGUAGGCUGUUUCGUAAGUCGUGUGUGAAAGGCGCGGGCUCAACCCGCGGACGGCACAUGAUACUGCGAGACUAGAGUAAUGGAGGGGGAACCGGAAUUCUCGGUGUAGCAGUGAAAUGCGUAGAUAUCGAGAGGAACACUCGUGGCGAAGGCGGGUGCCUGGACAUUAACUGACGCUGAGGCACGAAGGCCAGGGGAGCGAAAGGGAUUAGAUACCCCGGUAGUC
rnacentral:rRNA from 1 species